rnacentral:rRNA from 1 species
GACGAACGCUGGCGGCGUGCCUAAUACAUGCAAGUCGAGCGCAGGAAACUGACGGAACUCUUCGGAGGGAAGGCAGUGGAAUGAGCGGCGGACGGGUGAGUAACACGUAAGGAACCUGCCUCAAGGAUUGGGAUAACUCCGAGAAAUCGGAGCUAAUACCGGAUAGUUCAACGGACCGCAUGGUCCGCUGAUGAAAGGCGCUUCGGCGUCACCUUGAGAUGGCCUUGCGGUGCAUUAGCUAGGUGGUGGGGGAACGGCCCACCAAGGCGGCGAUGCAUAGCCGACCUGAGAGGGUGAUCGGCCACACUGGGACUUAGACACGGCCCAGACUCCUACGGGAGUCAGCAGUAGGGAAUCUUCCACAAUGGACGAAAGUCUGAUGGAGCAACGCCGCGUGAGUGAUGAAGGUUUUCGGAUCGUAAAACUCUGUUGUAAGGGAAGAACACAUACGAGAGGAAAUGCUCGUACCUUGACGGUACCUUACGAGAAAGCCACGGCUAACUACGUGCCAGCCGCCGCCGUAACAC